rnacentral:rRNA from 1 species
UGGGGAAUUUGGACAAUGGCGAAAGCCUGAUCCAGCAAUGCCGCGUGUGUGAAGAAGGCCUUCGGGUUGUAAAGCACUUUUGUCCGGAAAGAAAUCCUUGGCUCUAAUACAGUCGGGGGAUGACGGUACCGGAAGAAUAAGCACCGGCUAACUACGUGCCAGCAGCCGCGGUAAUACGUAGGGUGCAAGCGUUAAUCGGAAUUACUGGGCGUAAAGCGUGCGCAGGCGGUUUGCUAAGACCGAUGUGAAAUCUCGGGCUCAACCUGGGAACUGCAUUGGUGACUGGCAGGCUAGAGUAUGGCAGAGGGGGGUAGAAUUCCACGUGUAGCAGUGAAAUGCGUAGAGAUGUGGAGGAAUACCGAUGGCGAAGGCAGCCCCCUGGGCCAAUACUGACGCUCAUGCACGAAAAGCGUGGGGAGCAAACAGGAUUAGAUACCCUGGUAGUCCACGCCCUAAAACGAUGUCAACUAGUUGUUGGGGAUUCAUUUCCUUAGUAACGUAGCUAACGCGUGAAGUUGACCGCCUGGGGAGUACGGUCGCAAGAUUAAAAACUCAAAGGAAUUG